rnacentral:rRNA from 1 species
CUACGGGGGGCACCAGUGGGGAAUAUUGGACAAUGGGGGGAACCCUGAUGCAGCAACGCCGCGUGGAGGAUGACGCAUUUCGGUGUGUAAACUCCUUUUGUAUGUCAAGAAAAUGACGGUAGCAUAUGAAUAAGCACCGGCUAACUCCGUGCCAGCAGCCGCGGUAAUACGGAGGGUGCAAGCGUUACUCGGAAUCACUGGGCGUAAAGGACGCGUAGGCGGGUUGGAAAGUCAGGUGUGAAAUCCUACAGCUUAACUGUAGAACUGCACUUGAAACUUCUAAUCUAGAGUAUGGGAGGGGGAGAUGGAAUUAGUGGUGUAGGGGUAAAAUCCGUAGAUAUCACUAGGAAUACCUAAAGCGAAGGCGAUCUCCUGGAACAUUACUGACGCUAAGGCGUGAAAGCGUGGGGAGCAAACAGGAUUAGAUACCCGGGUAGUC